rnacentral:misc_RNA from 1 species
UCUCCGUUGGUGAACCAGCGGAGGGAUCAUUAUCGAGUUUACAACUCCCAAACCAUUGUGAAUUUUACCUUUUCGUUGCUUCGGCAGGAUUGCCCCGGGCGCUUCGGUGCCCCGGAUUCAGGCGCCUGCCGGGGGACCUAAACUCUUGUAUUAUAGCGAAUUUCUGAGUGGAUUACACAAAUAAUCAAAACUUUCAACAACGGAUCUCUUGGUUCUG